rnacentral:misc_RNA from 1 species
AAGUCGUAACAAGGUUUCCGUAGGUGAACCUGCGGAAGGAUCAUUAACACGUAUCCACGUAUCAACACGAACCACCACGAACCGGUCUCCCCGAGACAACCUACCUCUAAGCUGCGCUGUCGUGUUUAUAAUGGGUCGCACUGUUCUGUCAAAAGUUCGGUGUUGGCAUAACACUUCAGAGCUGUCGCUCCCUUUUACCGGGAGAGUGAAAGCGAAGUAAUUGGAUUGUCGGGCUUUACCAUUUUCAAUCCGCUUCAAGGUACCCAUUCUUCCCUUGGCGGGGCGAUACCCAUACCCUUUUCACCCUAUUUUACCUAAUUGGCUAAUUUCUAUAUUCGCGGAGAGAAAUCUCUGUUGAAUCUCUAAGAUUUAUCUUAACUAAGCACAACUCUUAGCAAUGGAUAUCUUGGUUCUC